AUACUUUGCACAGCCAGAAGAGGCCCAAGCCCAGCUGGCCUCACAGAAAUGGUGACACAGGGGCUUGGACUUCGGCCAGUUCUCCUGUAGGAAGAAGCCCAGACUACCAAGCUUACACAGUCCUGCAGAGAGCCACACUGUGGGAAGCAGAGACGCACCAUUUCUCCCCAGUGACCUCAGACCAGCUAGUCCACAAGAGCCCCGUAACAGGCCAAGGAUACCCAAGCGAGUCAGCUGGGAGCAAAGGAGUCACCCAGCCAAGCCCGACUUGCGUGGCCGAUUGUCUCUGUAUGUGGUCCUGGCUCUCCUGGCUCUCCGUAUACAGGUCAACUGGCCUCGAACUCACAGAGAUCCUACUGCCUCCACCCUCUAG
rnacentral:lncRNA from 1 species